GACGAACGCUGGCGGCGUGCCUAAUACAUGCAAGUAGAACGCACAGUUUAUACCGUAGCUUGCUACACCAUAGACUGUGAGUUGCGAACGGGUGAGUAACGCGUAGGUAACCUGCCUGGUAGCGGGGGAUAACUAUUGGAAACGAUAGCUAAUACCGCAUAAUAUUAAUUAUUGCAUGAUAAUUAAUUGAAAGGUGCAAUUGCACCAGUACCAGAUGGACCUGCGUUGUAUUAGCUAGUAGGUGAGGUAACGGCUCACCUAGGCGACGAUACAUAGCCGACCUGAGAGGGUGAUCGGCCACACUGGGACUGAGACACGGCCCAGACUCCUACGGGAGGCAGCAGUAGGGAAUCUUCGGCAAUGGACGAAAGUCUGACCGAGCAACGCCGCGUGAGUGAAGAAGGUUUUCGGAUCGUAAAGCUCUGUUGUAAGAGAAGAACGGGUGUGAGAGUGGAAAGUUCACACUGUGACGGUAUCUUACCAGAAAGGGACGGCUAACUACGUG
rnacentral:rRNA from 1 species